UCGAGGAUCUUUCGCAAUGGGCGAAAGCCUGACCCAGCAACGCCGCGUGAAGGAUGAAGUAUUUCGGUAUGUAAACUUCGAAAGAAUAGGAAGAAUAAAUGACGGUACUAUUUAUAAGGUCCGGCUAACUACGUGCCAGCAGCCGCGGUAAUACGUAGGGACCAAGCGUUGUUCGGAUUUACUGGGCGUAAAGGGCGCGUAGGCGGCAAUUCAAGUCAUCUGUGAAAUCUCCGGGCUUAACUCGGAACGGUCAGAUGAUACUGCUUUGCUAGAGUGCAGAAGGGGCAAUCGGAAUUCUUGGUGUAGCGGUGAAAUGCGUAGAUAUCAAGAGGAACACCUGAGGUGAAGACGGGUUGCUGGGCUGACACUGACGCUGAGGCGCGAAAGCCAGGGGAGCAAACGGGAUUAGAUACCCCCGUAGUCCCUGAGCGGGCUGGCAAGGCGCAU
rnacentral:rRNA from 1 species